CGAAAUUCAUUCUACUAAAUUAGCAAAUUUCAUUAAAGAAUAAUAAACACAUCAAGAAUUCUUUAAUUUAUUCAUUUGGCUGCAUGGAUUUGGAUUAUUCAUUUAUUUCAAUUUCAAUCUUUAUCUUACCCAUCUAAAUCAACUUCAUCCAACCAAAUCCCCUGAACUAAAAAUUAAAUACAUUACAGAGAGAGUGAUAUGUAUGAAUUAUUGUCGGGUAUUAAUUUUGUGGGUUGAUGAAAUGGGGGAUAUUGGAAGAAUCUAGGGAUUUGGAGACGGCCUUUUUUGGUUUUGAGGAAAAGGGCCGUUGUUUAUUUGAAGGGAUUUGCUGAAAGAGAUGAAGGAUUUGUUGGGGAGUCCAGGGUCUGUAAGUGGAUUAUUUUUGAGGAUUUUACAGUGUAUAUUUGCAGCUGGAUCCAUUGGAGUUAUGGUGCUCAUGGGUUUUCUAACUUCACUGCUUACUGGUAUAUUUCUUUUCCCUGCCCCAUUUUGCCCCUAUGAAUAGAUAUUUUCAUUUUUCACUGGUUCUAUUUAAGUUUAAUGAGAUUGAUUUGUGAGUUAUUUUUAAACCUGGUAUUUCUUGUGAAAAAUAAAAUGGGACUUUUAAAUGUAGUAUAGUCUUCAGGUGCCUUCUGUUGUUUAAUACAAAAACAAUAUGGUUUGAUGUGUCUGCCUAGUUUAUCUGGAUAAGAUGGAUCCACGACCACAUUAUUUUGAGAAUUCUAAAAUUUUGCUGAAUUUUAGUAAGUUAACAUAUAAGAUAAUUUGAUAUUGUCGUGUUCCAAUUUCUAUUGCUGGUGUAUGAAUGAAUUUUUUUAUAGAAAUGUUCAUCUUUCGACUGGAUGCUGUUGGUGUUACUACAGUAAGAAUUUCGAGCUUCCUAUUUAAACAUCUGGAAGUUCAAACGAAAUGAAAUUGGUAGCUAUUCACGUUUUAAGCAACGUAGACUCAACUAUGUAUUUAUCUAUGAAAUGCCUGAUUUUGGAAGUAGGAUUUUUACCUUGUUUUACAUAAGUGUAACUAAAAAUUAAAUCGGUGCUCUCAUUUAUUUCUAUUUGGAAAUUCUUAUCAAUAUUUGCUACAUCUAAUAUGCAAUAAUCUCAGUUUCUCAGUCUUCAUAUUAUAUGUAACAAUAAGAUUUCUCUCUGACUUUGCUCAAGUUGAUAUUUUUGUUUCUAAUAUUCCCUCAUUUUGCUAAAAUAGACACAAGCACAAGAAAUAUGUUUUCAUUGAAGAAAACAUUGCUCUACACGAUCUACAAGGAGAUCAUUGGAUCUUAAUCAGUUUCAUAAUUUUGAUGAUAUUUAACUGUUUGAUUCAGCUAUCUGAUUGCAUCAAUGGAGCUUCAAGUAUUAUGGACCUUUGGACUUGCAUGUCUAGAUGCCUAUGCUUUGUGGAUAAAAAGACCUGCGCAAUCCAGUCUUACCGAGCCUGUUUGUUGUGGGUGACUGGGUAAUUACCUUAUCCUUUAAUUCAUUUACUGUAUCGUACUGUAAUCUGAUUACUUUUUUAUGAUUCUUGAUCUUGUUGUGUGAAACCAUGUUGACAGUUUUCAUAUUCCCUCGUGUCUUCAUUUUAGAUCAACUCUGGUUAUGAUAUCCAAUAUUUCCAUUAUGUUAAACGAAUUGAUUCUGUGCCCUUUUAUUUUAUCAGAAUGAGUUUGUGCCAAGCCUCUAGCCCCAAUUUCUUCAGAUUAUGAAUAUAAUUUAGACACAACUUUUUUUCUCUACAGUUGGGGCUAGAGUGCUUUAGAACUUUUCAAUUGUAAUUCAGAUGGUUAUUUUGAUUUUCCAGGACAUUGUUAAAGUCUUAUCCCUUGUAUACUUGAGCACUGUAUAAGUCUACAUUACAAUGACAUGUGAGUACUUUUCAAUUAUUCUUUAAGCUAGCUAUGUUAAUUUUUCCCACUUUUUUUUUUUUUUUUUUGGGAAACUAAUGUGAAUUUUUUCACGCCAUUAUGUUCAAUCUGAAACUGUCUCCCCCAACAUGUCCAAUAAUAAUUUUAUCCUUUGCAACCAUUUUAGGCCCUGUUAAAUUUUAUAUAUCAUGUUCUUGUUACACUUACAAUUGAGAUUACAUCAAUUUUGUGAAUGAUAGCUUCUUUAGGGUUUGUUAGGUGAUAACUACUUUAGCCAUCUGUGUAAUCUUUCCCUUGAUUAUCUGCAAUUUGCGUGCCGCCUCAAUUUGUUAUUGUGGUGUUCAGUUUUCUAUUAUAUCCAUUCUAAUAAGUCCAAUAUACGACAAAUGACUGGACGUAGAAUCGCUUAGAGCUGGCAGAACAUGCCCAGGGCAGGAUCCAGAUCCAAAAAGUCGAGUCUCAUAUCAGCCUAGGGCACUGAAAGACGUAGCGAACGAUGGCCCCCGCACCCAAGAGCGCUUAUGUUCCAUCUUAUAUCCUAAUUUUAAUAUCUUAUUUCGUGGACAUUUUAUCUUUUUAGGGUCCAACACCUUGAAAUAUAGCUUGUCUAAUGGUCGUUCUAUAGAAAUUUCUCUUAAAUUGUGCAAGUAAUUUCUAUCAUAAGGAAUCCUUUCAUAUUUACUUUCCAUUUGUAAAACCCAAUUUAAUUAGGAAAAAUUGCAGUCGAGAUGCCAAACCUUUCGUUUAUUAGCAGACUUUGCCCAAACCUUUAGUUUGUGUCAUUGGAGGUACCAAACAUUUCAAAAAUCAGCACUCGAAGUCCAAAUGGAUGGAAACCAUCCGUUUGACCGUUAGUUGACCAAUAAAAUUAAACAUUGACAAAUUUUUGACUAAUUGAAAAGGGUAAAAAAGUAAAAGUACUUAACCAUAUAAUAAAACAAUUAAAAUAAAUAUCUAAAACACAAAAAAAAAAAAAAAAUACUAUUCAUCUCCUUCUUCACCCUAGCCUACCCCCCACGCUACCCCCACCCCAUCCAAACCAUACUAUCAGCCUUUUCCAGUUUCAGAGCCUCUAAUUUUGAAGUCAAUCUUUUAAUUUCCAUCUCAAUCUCCUCGAUUUACUCAUCGAAACUCUUCAAAUCCACCUUCUCUUCAAAAGCCUGUUUUGGAAUUCCUCUAGUUUUCAAAUUCUCCGAAGCUCCAUUCACAUUAACCGGCUUGAAGGGUGUCACAAUAGAUCUGAGAGAAGAAGAAACAGAAGAAAUUGGGGUCUCAAACAGAGGACCCUCAUUCUCUUUGCUCGAAGAAUCCGAGAUGAUCGACUCUGUCGAAUUCAACAACAUGGGCUUUAUAGGACUCCAUGAAGGCUUAUUCCCUGAAAUUUUUUUAAGAUCUCCAUUAUCAAAUGCGGCAUUGUUCCAUAUCUGAAGAUCAUUAGAACUCACGCCUUCUUUAUAGUGCAAAACACUCAUCUUCCCUCUAAUUAAAUUCAGGAUGGGGUGGGGGUAGGGUGGGGGUGGGGUGGGUGAAGAAGGAGAUGAAUAGUAUUUUUUUUUUUGUUUUAGUUAUUUAUUUUAAUUAUUUUAUUAUAGGGUUAAGUACUUUUACUUUUUUACCCUUUUCAAUUAGUCAAAAAUUGGUUAAUGUUUAAUUUUAUUGGUCAACUAACGGUCAAACGGACGGUUUCCAUCCAUUUAGACUUCGGGUGCUGAUUUUUGAAAGGUUUGGUACCUCCAGUGGUACAAACUAAAUGUUUGGGCAAAUUCUGCUAAUAAACGAAAGGUUUGGUAUCUCGGCUGCAAUUUUCCCGUUUAAUUAUAUACAUUUGAUUCCCCUCAGGUCUUUGUUAAAAUCGAAUAACCUGAUGCAGUACCAGAUCAGUAGGCGGGCUAUGAUGUUGAUUUUUAAGUCAUUUAUCCAUUUAACAUUUUUUGGUUUAUGGUUAAUAAUAAAUUACGCAAGGAAAUGAGGGACUAUGUUGUAAUACUAUUAAAGUUUACACUAGGCCCCAUUUGUUUCUCAUUUUUGUAAGAAUGAGAAUGAAAAAUAUAGGCAUUACGGGCUCCACAUAAGGGAUAGAAAUUCAAAUUGGUGACUUGAUGUGAAGUAUAUGGUCAUAUUUUUCAUUUUAAUGGGGAAAAAAUGAGAAACAAACGGGGGCUAGGUCUAAAAUAAGUUGCAGCUAACUCUUUUAUUCUAAGAUGACUUUAAUUUUGGAAAAACAUAAUAUAGAGAGAUUUCUCCAAUUCUUUGAUCCAAAAUGGUAUUCGUGAGCGAAUCAACAUCUAGUGAUCAAGUGUCAUUGUUUUUGCUUGAAUAUGUCUGUGUGAGUUGGUAUCAGAUACAUCCACGUUUCUGAUACACAUGAGUUGGUGUUCAUGAAGCCUUCUUGGAUGAGAUUCACUAUGGAGGACAUGAACAAAUCUCCGGUUUAAUCGAUGUGUUAGAGCAACAUAUGGAGAUGUUGAAGGCCCAGUAAUCGGUAUUUUUGAAUGCUGUUGGAGGUGAUCGGCAUCAUAGAGGCAACAAUAGGGAUCAACAAAACAGAGUUGAAGGCGUGGUGCCGCGACAACUGGUGUAGAAUCAGACUUGGGGGACUCUAAUGGUGACGACGAUCCUUUUGUCCCUUUCAAUCCGGAACAAUAAAUGGACGUUAAUUUAAGUGAAGAUUAUAACGAUCUACUAAUCUUUGAUGAGGAGCCUGAUGUUUAUAAUGAGAAGGAGGUGAUAAGUCUUUUGAGUUGUUUACUAGAACGAUGUUUAUUUAAAGAAGCCAAGAAUUGUCUUUAUGUGGAAUGGGAUCCAGGUUGAAUUCAAUGUGACAGUUGGAAAUUAUAGGUUGUCUUCAAAAUGUAAUUUUUCUAUUUCCUAUUAUUUCUAUUCCAAGUACCGUGUUUGCAAAGAUUGGGAAGCUUUGUUCAAUUUAUUGCGGCUCUAACUCUAUUUCACAUCUCAGCCAAGAUGAUGUUGACGUGUCAUAAAAAAAUCCAAUUUGAAGGCGUGCAAUGUUAACAAUGAGUGCUUUUCUUUAAGUGGCUUGGUUAGGUUUGAGAUUCAAAGAUCAUAUAAUGAAAUUAAUAGAGCAGUUAUAGAUAAUAUCGUGGUUUCCAUUGCAAUUCAAUAUUUGGUUGAUGAGUUUACUCGCUUCUGUUUGGCUUCGAUUAAACUUAAAAUUUUAAUAGAUUUUGACAAGAUAUGAUGAAAUAUGUAAUUGAAAAAGUUGAUAUAAGUUGUAGAACCCAUGAAAUCAUUGAAAUGUAUGAUUGAAAAUGAGUUCGGGGGAAAAUGAGUUUUCUAAAAUGGGAGCCAAAGAGGGGCAUAUAUCUUUCCUGUGGAUUUUCCGAGUGGAAUGCAUCAUAUUACAAGGCAUAUGAUGAAGAUACGGCAUAAGAUUCAAAGGUGAAUAGUCCUCAACUGGGAGAGGAUGAUGCAAUGCCAAAUCCGCAUGCAGGUUUCAAUCUUAGAUGAUUUCUAAGUUAUUUAUUUAUUUAAAUUUUGUUGCUUUAUUUAGUUAUGCUUUAUGAUAAUUUCAUUGGGAACUGAGGGACAAAGUUGUUUAGGUCCAAAAUAAGUAGCCACCAACUGUUUCAUUGUAGGAUUGACUUUGAUUUUGAUAAAAUAAUUGAUAGGUUUCUCCAAUUCUUUGAUCCAAAACUGUAUUCAUGUGCAAUCAACAUUGAGAGAUCCUGUGUUUCUUCAUGCUUUCUUCUAUCUGCAUCCGUAUCUAAAUAAUUGCUCUUUAGGACAACAAUCCUUUGACUUGACCAAUUUCCUUAUUCUUGCCAUGACUAUAAGUGCUUCAAUAUAUUCAAUUUUAGUUUCAGUUGACCCCCCCCCCCCCCCCCCCCCCCCGGUUUUUAAAAUAAUUGAAAAACCAUCUAAACCUAGGCGGAUUUCUAGGUCUCUUGGUUCCAAAAUCUUGAGAAAAAUAGAUCUGUUUCUGGCAUCUAAUUUUCAGACAGCUACAUGCAUAAUCAAGUUUUACCAGGCUUAUGACUAUCUUUGAAAAAAAAUGCAUCUUAUUAUUUCCAUGUUGACAUUUGUAUUCCUAUUAUUAACUACUACUAGCGUGAUCUUUGGUAGCUUUCCUUAAGCUAGCAAUUAGAGUACUUAUACCUGGCCUUCAUUGUUCUUUUGUUGCCUUUCUCAUGCAUUUUCUCCUGUUUCUUAACUUCGCUGUCAGAACCUUGGUUCCAGUAGUAGUAAGUGUUAAAUCCAUUAUUUUCCACCUCAGUUUGGGGAAUAAUAUCAGAUCAAAUGCAGGUAACAGCUACCUUAUCAUUUGCAGCCGCAUGCUCUUCAUCAGGGGUCGCAGUUUUGUACGGCAGAGACUUGAAAUUUUGUAGUGGUCCAGUAAAUCUCCCGUGUGACAAGUUUGAGCUCUGAGCUCUCCAUAGCUUUGGCAUUCGUUACAUGGUUCCUAGUUUCAAUGUCAUCUCAUUUGAUGUUUUGGAUCUUAGCGUCCAUUUAAAUUAUUCAAGAUUAGAUUUACUUUUGUGCAUUUGACAUAUUCCACACCUUCUGUCACAUGUGAAUCUAACUAUUGCUGUUUUGAAAUUGUCAAUUUUUCCUUCUCAGUUUUGGUUCUGUUUUUUUCACUUAGAAUAUGUGGAGUCUCUCGACUCUAAUGGAG
rnacentral:lncRNA from 1 species